rnacentral:rRNA from 1 species
GCGUGAGUGAAGAAGGCCCUAGGGUUGUAAAGCUCUUUCACCGGGGAAGAUAAUGACGGUACCCGGGGAAGAAGCCCCGGCUAACUCCGUGCCAGCAGCCGCGGUAAUACGGAGGGGGCUAGCGUUGUUCGGAAUUACUGGGCGUAAAGCGCGCGCAGGCGGUUGAUCAAGUUGGGCGUGAAAGCCCAGGGCUUAACCCUGGAACUGCGCUCAAUACUGGUCGGCUCGAGUCCGGGAGAGGGUAGCGGAAUUCCCAGUGGAGAGGUGAAAUUCGU